AUGUUUGUAUUGACAUGAAUACUUUGUUAAUCAAGGUACUGGAAAUGGAAUGAUAAAAUCUCUUCUCGAUUCAGCUGGUCAACCCUGUACAGCUGCUUAUGCUAUGCUUGCUGUCAUUCAAGGUGUAGUUUUAUAUGAUAUUUUCUUUUAGAAAUCUGCUUUUGUUUAUUAACUGAAAUUCUGUUGCAUAAUCCAUUUUUCGCAGGGCAUAAACGCUCUCUGGAUGUAGCCACAAUCUGGCAAGGGCAGUCUAAAUUUUUCAGUGUCCUGAUGCUUGCAUGGGGACUGAUAGCUGACAUAGAUAUCGAGUCUGAGCAGUAUCGGUGGAUGGGAAGUGCUCGAAUGGAUUUAUAUGUUGAUAGAAGAUACAAACAAUAUUAUCAUCAAAUGCAGAUAAUUAUAUCAUCA